rnacentral:rRNA from 1 species
GACGAACGCUGGCGGCGUGCUUAACACAUGCAAGUCGAACGGAAAGGCCCUGCUUUUGUGGGGUGCUCGAGUGGCGAACGGGUGAGUAACACGUGAGUAACCUGCCCUUGACUUUGGGAUAACUUCAGGAAACUGGGGCUAAUACCGGAUAGGAGCUCCUGCUGCAUGGUGGGGGUUGGAAAGUUUCGGCGGUUGGGGAUGGACUCGCGGCUUAUCAGCUUGUUGGUGGGGUAGUGGCUUACCAAGGCUUUGACGGGUAGCCGGCCUGAGAGGGUGACCGGCCACAUUGGGACUGAGAUACGGCCCAGACUCCUACGGGCGGCCGCAGUGGGGAAUCUUGCCCAAUGGGCGGAAGCCUGAUGCAGCAACGCCGCGUGCGGGAUGACGGCCUUCGGGUUGUAAACCGCUUUCGCCUGUGACGAAGCGUGAGUGACGGUAAUGGGUAAAGAAGCACCGGCUAACUACGUG